rnacentral:rRNA from 1 species
UGGGGAAUAUUGGACAAUGGGCGCAAGCCUGAUCCAGCCAUGCCGCGUGUGUGAAGAAGGCCUUCGGGUUGUAAAGCACUUUUGUCCGGAAAGAAAAGCGCUCGAUUAAUACUCGGGUGUUAUGACGGUACCGGAAGAAUAAGCACCGGCUAACUUCGUGCCAGCAGCCGCGGUAAUACGAAGGGUGCAAGCGUUACUCGGAAUUACUGGGCGUAAAGCGUGCGUAGGUGGUUUGUUAAGUCUGAUGUGAAAGCCCUGGGCUCAACCUGGGAACUGCAUUGGAUACUGGCUUACUAGAGUGCGGUAGAGGGGUGUGGAAUUCCCGGUGUAGCAGUGAAAUGCGUAGAUAUCGGGAGGAACAUCUGUGGCGAAGGCGACACCCUGGACCAGCACUGACACU